rnacentral:rRNA from 1 species
CUGAAGAAUCAUAUCACCCUGCAGCUCUUGCCUGGUUUCUUAUUGAAGCUAAGCAGGGUUGAGCUUGGACAGUACCUGGAUGGGAGACCUCCUGGGGAAACUAAGGUUGCUGA